rnacentral:rRNA from 1 species
UACGUAGGUGGCGAGCGUUGUCCGGAUUUACUGGGCGUAAAGAGCGCGCAGGCGGUCGAUCAAGUCGGAUGUGAAAGCCCCCGGCUCAACUGGGGAGGGUCAUUCGAUACUGGUCGACUCGAAGGCAGGAGAGGGAAGCGGAAUUCCCGGUGUAGUGGUGAAAUGCGUAGAUAUCGGGAGGAACACCAGUGGCGAAGGCGACUUCCUGGCCUGUUCUUGACGCUGAGGCGCGAAAGCUAGGGGAGCAAACAGG